GGCCUCUCCCAUAGUAUAGCCUA
rnacentral:siRNA from 1 species